rnacentral:rRNA from 1 species
GACGAACGCUGGCGGCGUGCUUAACACAUGCAAGUCGAGCGGUAAGGCCCUUUCGGGGGCACACGAGCGGCGAACGGGUGAGUAACACGUGGGUGACCUGCCCUCAGCUCUGGGAUAAGCCUGGGAAACUGGGUCUAAUACUGGAUAUGACUCCACGGUGCAUGUCGUGGGGUGGAAAGCCUUGUGCGGCUGAGGAUGGGCCCGCGGCCUAUCAGCUUGUUGGUGGGGUGAUGGCCUACCAAGGCGACGACGGGUAGCCGGCCUGAGAGGGCGACCGGCCACACUGGGACUGAGACACGGCCCAGACUCCUACGGGAGGCAGCAGUAGGGAAUCUUGCACAAUGGACGAAAGUCUGAUGCAGCGACGCCGCG